rnacentral:rRNA from 1 species
AAUGAACGCUGGCGGCGUGCCUAACACAUGCAAGUCGCACGAGAAGGGGGCCUUCGGGUCCCUUGUAAAGUGGCGAACGGGUGAGUAACGCGUAGGUAACCUGACCUCGAGUGUGGAAUAACCUGGCGAAAGCCGGGCUAAUACCGCAUGACGCCUACGGACCUUCGGACCGGAGACCAAAGGUGGCGAGCUUCGAGCGCUGCCGCUCGAGAGGGGGCCUGCGUCCCAUUAGCUAGNGGGUGGGGUAACGGCCCACCAACGGCGACGAUGGGUAGCCGGGCUGAGAGGCUGUCCGGCCACACUGGAACUGAGACACGGUCCAGACUCCUACGGGAGGCAGCAGUGGGGAAUCUUGCGCAAUGGGGGAAACCCUGACGCAGCGACGCCGCGUGGGCGAUGAA